rnacentral:rRNA from 1 species
AGUGAACGCUGGCGGUAGGCCUAACACAUGCAAGUCGAACGGCAGCACAGUAAGAGCUUGCUCUUACGGGUGGCGAGUGGCGGACGGGUGAGGAAUACAUCGGAAUCUACUUUUUCGUGGGGGAUAACGUAGGGAAACUUACGCUAAUACCGCAUACGACCUACGGGUGAAAGCAGGGGAUCUUCGGACCUUGCGCGAUUGAAUGAGCCGAUGUCGGAUUAGCUAGUUGGCGGGGUAAAGGCCCACCAAGGCGACGAUCCGUAGCUGGUCUGAGAGGAUGAUCAGCCACACUGGAACUGAGACACGGUCCAGACUCCUACGGGAGGCAACAGUGGGGAAUAUUGGACAAUGGGCGCAAGCCUGAUCCAGCCAUACCGCGUGGGUGAAGAAGGCCUUCGGGUUGUAAAGCCCUUUUGUUGGGAAAGAAAAGCAGCAGGUUAAUACCCCGCUGUUCUGACGGUACCCAAAGAAUAAGCGCCGGCUAACUUCGUG